GAUGAACGCUGGCGGCGUGCUUAACACAUGCAAGUCGAACGAGAAGUGAAGACGGAAACCUUCGGCGGAAGGCUUUAUUUCGAGUGGCGGACGGGUGAGUAACGCGUGGGUAACCUGCCUCAUACAGGGGGAUAACAGUUGGAAACGACUGUUAAUACCGCAUAAGACCACAGCACCGCAUGGUGCGGGGGUAAAAACUCCGGUGGUAUGAGAUGGACCCGCGUUCGAUUAGCCAGUUGGCGGGGUAACGGCCCACCAAAGCGACGAUCGAUAGCUGAUCUGAGAGGAUGACCGGCCACAUUGGGACUGAGACACGGCCCAAACUCCUACGGGAGGCAGCAGUGGGGAAUAUUGCACAAUGGGGGAAACCCUGAUGCAGCGACGCCGCGUGAGUGAAGAAGUAUUUCGGUAUGUAAAGCUCUAUCAGCAGGGAAGAAAAUGACGGUACCUGAGGAAGAAGCCCCGGCUAACUACGUG
rnacentral:rRNA from 1 species